UCGGCGUGUUUCUAUCAAGCUAACGUAAUACAAGUGGUAACGGAAGAACACGUUUUGUACAUGGACUCGGCUAUGAAACACGAAAGACGAAGGAAAAUGAAAUCAACGUUGAAGCGGCACUCCGAGGAUCCUACGUGUUACGUCGAUGAAAAAUGGAAAUUAUGACAAUGUCCGUAACGUCCGGGGCACUUCAGGAUCUCAUAGCGAGCAAUCAAGAGUUAAGCGAAAAAAGUCGAGUAAAGCAGAGUUAUCCUUAUGCCAAGUCGUAUCAUCCUGACCACAAUGACUGUGUGUGUCACUGCGUGUCGAAAUUUCGCAACACCAUUUUUCGACGAAAUUACCGAAGAACAAAGACGUAUAAUCCUACGCUAAAAACGAAGAAGCAAAGACGCUAAAAUGGGGGAAAGAAAGAAAGGAGGAGAAAAAUGGACGACUAUUGUUCUCAGGCGUAUUAUGCGCGUCAUUCCACGCCUUUUAUUCGUCUGUGUUCAUCGCCGCGCGAAGAUCCGCAUUUACUCGCCAAAUACCGAUCCAGGAUAUUCGUUUUUAAAUCAUCGUCGUCGUCGGCCCGCGUGGGAUUACUCGGCCGACCUGCACAGCUCUGGAAAGCUCGAUUAAUUCCUUGCACUCGUUGACCUUUACUGGUCGCGAUAUGCAGUUGCGCUGGCCGAUAAAAACAGCUUCCCCUUGAAACGUACGAAACGCGUUUUCACCACCCACUCGCUCCCAGAAUUCGCUCUUCUUUUUAUGUAACGGUACUCCUUUCUUUUUUCUCUUUUUGUCAUAUGUACGAGUACGUUCUUGAAGUACUUUUUAUAACGAUAGUUCUAUAGAUUUUCCGGCUUAUACGAAUACGAGGCUCUCAGAAGCCAAAUUGACCCACUUCACUUUUUAUAAAGCGUUUGAUUUCACAUUAUCCAGAUACAUAAAGCCACACGUACAGCUACGAAAUGUUUUUGUACAUACUGUUAGCCUGUAACGAGCCAGGCUUUUCAUCAGGUUGCAUAAUUUAUUCUCGUAAGAGCAAAGUUUCGUAGUCAUAGGAGAGGCGCCGUGUAACGAUAUAAAACUCAAUGUAAUAUUUGCACUUGAUUAAUUAGUACGUAAACGUUGAGGUAAAUAUCGUAGAAUGGUGUACAAAUAAUUUUUGUGGCCAUUGUAAUUAGCAUUGAAUUUCCGAACCCUCAGUCGCCACUUGUGUCAAUUUGACACGCUUUCGAAAGAAGAUUCUAUUAAUCGUUCUCUUAUAGAACAAUCUUUCCGAAACUUUCUGACUCUUUAUCUAUCUCUGUUCUUUUUAUUCCUCGCGAAGAAUGCGGAAUUAAUAAUUAAUUAUUAAUAAUAUCUAUCUCGCCGUUUCAUCGAGUCACACCGGUAGGAUAAAAUAAAGAUAGCGAAACGCGUUAAAAUUAGAAUUAAAAAUACCUGCUUUCGUAAAUUUAUCCGCCGUAAGAAGAUAGCGAUAAGGAAUUGUAAAUUGGAAGGAAAUUAAAGAAGCAUAAUGUCUAUGAUUGUGUCGGUUCUUCGAAACUAUUGCGUUUCAACGAUGUAGCUGAACGUACAGUCUAGCGAGGCUGUGCCUUAAGUACAAGCUAAUGCGAGACAGUUAAAGUAAACCAUUAUAGAAAAUGAAAAUCAAACGCGCUGUGAACUUGUUAACGAGAUGUUUUUCCAAUUACAUUCUCGUCGCGUGUUAUCGUAAUAGUGUCAAUGGCGAACGAAUGUGCUUACGCACAAUGUGCGUAUAUAUAGACGCGAGAGAAAAUUGUGAAGCGAUGCAGCUCUCGAGACGUAGCGCGACGAUAAGAAGCCUCGUUAUCUUUAUGGCUGGCUCGCGGCGUUGCUCGCGGGACGAGCCGAUAAUUUCGUUAAAAUUUAACGUAAAAACUCGUUCUCUUCCUGUUACGAAGGGUGUGUAUACCGGUGGGCACACGAUCCGCUUGGCGCCAGACGAGAAUCACUGUGUCUGCUAUCGGAUGCAGCGAUUGCCUCUCGGCGAGGGCAGAGAAAAUCGAGGUACGAGACGGGAAAACCCGUCCUCGGCUUCUGCCGGCGAUUCACGGCACGUAGAAGAUCAUACGAACGUACGCCCGACACGUUAUAUCCAUGGCAAAGGUGGAUACCAUUAACCAGUUAGCUAUUUUCGACCAGUAUACUCGUCGUGAAGAAAUACCAAUAUUUUCUGUUACGUAGACUAUACUCGGUCGUGAGUAAGGAAAAAAGGAGAAAGAAGGAAAACGAUCAUUUCAUUACAACUUAAUUCUGUGUUUGACCAGUAUACUCGUCGUGAAGAAAUGCCAAUAUUUUCUGUUAUAUCAAGUAUACUCGUCCUGAGUAAGGAAAAAA
rnacentral:lncRNA from 1 species